AUAGGGAGAACCAAGUUUCAACUUCCUCCUAAUUUCAAACCCAAAAUGUUCUUAUUUUGUUGGGAGAACUUUUCUAAGGGUACAGAAGUUAUUGUUAUCUAAUGCCAUAGCCCCUUUAUAUAAAUAUACCAAUUUGAUAGUUUUAUGAAUUUAUUUUGAGGAGAGAAGAUCUUCGAAGGCAAGAUUAAGACUGAAUCUAUUCUCAGCAUUUCCAAGGUCUACAAUGCAAUUGGUUGUAAAAAGUGGAAACCAAUUCUGAUUUGCAUAAGCCAAAGGUGCCUUAGAAUUCAGCUGGAGAGAUAUAAAGAUAUGAACAUUAUGCGUGGAUAAAGAUGACCGACUAACCAAGAGACUGGAGAAACAUCUGUGACAAAGGGAAAAAAAGGAAAGAAAGAAAAGGAAAUGUUUUCUGGUGUCUCAGUUAUAGGUGAGCAGAUUGCUUCAAAAUAUAAUUAAAUUUUAUGAUAGAAGAGAAAAUUUGAAGCUUGACUCCUUGAAACACUUUUCAAAUGAUUAUUUUUGACUCUG
rnacentral:lncRNA from 1 species